UUAACCGCAAAAAUUGAUUAUAAAAGUUCCGUUUUUUACACAUUUCACCAGUUUUAUUAAAACUAUCUUUGUGAGAAGUUGUAUGUGCUCCGCUGUGUAUUUUUGCAUUUAAAUUUCAAAGGAUUUUAUAAUGGCUGAUCAACUAUUAAAUCUGAAUAAAAUUGCUGCCUGUGAAUAUACUGAUACAUAUGUCAGUGCCAACGAUUUGGAAGUGAACAAGAAAUAUAAAAUCAUCAAUUUAACCAAGGCAAACACACAACAUGGGGUUAUGAUGGUAGCAUAUCUGGACAACGUCGGUAAAGUUUUUUUACCUAAACGACUAACAGCAGUUAUGAAUGAUACCAUAAUUACGACAUUAAUGGAAGGACUCGGAUCUUAUUUGAUUUACAUGGGACGUAAGCAAGCUAAUGGAAAUCAGGAACAUGAUGCCCACAUUUUUAAUUUCGAACGUAUUAUUCACGAAGAUUAAUGUAAAUUUUUUGAUUAAUUCUACACUGCAACACCCCGGACGCAAGAACUAGCAAGAACUCACGCUUCAUAUUUUUAGAUAUAUUUUAUGAUAGUUUGUAGAAUAGGUAUUAUAAGUUGUAUUGGAAUUAAAUAAAAAAUAAAUCAAUCAAAUUAUU